rnacentral:lncRNA from 1 species
UUUUUUUUUUUGUCUGUUUUGUUUUUGGCUUUUGUUUGUUUUUGCUUUUUCGGGCUACACCCAUGGCCUAUGGAAGUUCCCAGGCUAGGGGUCGAAUCAGAGCUAUAGCUGUCGGCCUACCCCACAGCCACAGCCAGGCAGGAUCCAAGCUGCGUCUGUGACCUACACCACGGCUCACAGCAAUGUCGGAUCCUCAACCCACAGAGCGAGGCCGGAUCCUCAACCCAUCGAGCGAGGCCAGGGAUCGAACCCGCAUCCUCAUGGAUACCCAUCGGGUUUUUAACCCGCUGAGUCACAAUGGGAACUCCCUGUUUGUUAGUUUUUGGGUUUUUUUCUUUUCUUUUUUUUUGGGGGGGGGGUGUUUUAAAAUUUUUUUUCCCUGGCAAAUCAAGGUGCCCACAGGUUCCCAAGAUACAGGAUGCCUCUUACCUCUUUCUUUGUACUCUCAGCUGCCCCGCUUGCAACACCCCUCCCUCUCUCAUCCUCUUUGCAAACCUUUUCUGGAAAAUUCUGCUCCUCCUGUCUCCAUCCAGGCCCGAAGCACAUCCGGCUUUCCCACGCUGUCCCCUCCACUUACCACCCUGUAUUGUCAUCUACUGGUGUCUGUGGACAGACUGUGAACUCUGGGGGGGAUGACGAUGGCCGUUCGGGGCAGUCGGCACGGAGUAGGGGUUCAGCGAAGGGUGAAAACACCAGCCUGAUGAAGUCUACAGAGCGGGUGGCAGGAGCCUCAUUUUGCGACUAAGAACGUUUAAUUCGGAAAGGUGAAGUCACGAGGGUCCUUCCACGGCAGCACGAAGUGGAUACCACCUGACUCUCAUUUCCUGUGGUCCCUCGAGUUCUGCGAGCGACAGGAAAUACAAGUUUCCUGGAUGCUCUGGAGCAUCUAUACCUUGCCUCCUUUUGAGAAUGGACACCUGGAAGGGCAGCCUUAUGCAAUUCACCAUUAUCAGCGCAUCUAGUGUAACUCAGAGCCCAGGCAGCCAAGCGCUAAAUUAACAUUACUCUUCUCCGUGGAGGUGAUGGGGCUCUGAACAGGCACGAGAUGCCUGCAUAACUUUGAAGAAGAGAUUUACACACCCCUUUGUCUCCCGUAUAAAUGGACUCAAGGGCUGCAGCAGUGCAUAAAUGAUCUUUUCUUUCCACUGUUUAUAGUUGAAAGCAGCCGUUUUCAGCUUCUUGCCGGUGAUCACUCCCCUAAAAAUAGCUUUGAUGCUGUCACAUGCAAACUUGAGCAGAACCUGAAAGCAUUCCCCUUUUAGUUCUGAGCGGGCUCAACUUUAAAAGAGAGGCAGCUGUUAACAUACUCCAGUGUGUUUACAUGAUGCUGAAGUAGUUUGGCUCCAAGUUUAAUAAAAAAACAAAAAAAAAAACAAAAAACACUAAAAAGGGACAGAAAUGGGGUUGCAGCAUCUGGUGACGACAUUUCUUUCUGCUGAACUGGAGCAACAGGGAGGUUGGCAGGGAAAAUCCAAAAGGCCCAGCUUCAAGGGGGAAACAGACUGGAGCACAACUGUGGUGAUGAUGGGAGCGAGAUGCUUCUUCCUGCCAUGGGAGAUUCCCGACUCUGCUUGGGGUGGGGGUCAGGGAGGUGGCAGAGAAAAUGAUACAACAGAGAAGAGGACUUAUAACCCAGGGGUACUUUCUUACUGUUGGUUGAGACCAACGAAGAGCUGUUUUUAGAAAUCAAGGACACUGGGAGUUCCCACAGUGGCUCAGCGGAAGAAAGUUUGACUAGCAUCCACGAGAACGCAGGUUCAAUCCCUAGCCUCGCUCAGUGGGUUAAGGAUCCAGCGUUACUCUGUGCUGUGCUGCAGGUCCCAGAUGCGGCUCAGAUCUGGCGUUGCUGUGGCUACAGCUCUAAUUCGACCCCUUGCCUGGGAACCUCUGUAUGCUGUGGGUGUGGUCCUAAUAUGACCAAAGAAAAAAGAAAAAGAAAAAAAGAAAUCAAGGACACAAAGAAUGAAAGAAUGAAACACAUUCGAUACUUUGGCCAGUGCUUGGAUGCCUUGUAUUGGUUCACUGGGCAACCGGACCUCUCUGGUCGUUUUCAGAAACCAGACCCAAACUGAAGGGAGAGCAGCGUAUGGGCUUGGAAACCAGAGCAAACUCAGACUUUCAUCCCAGCUCCUCCUCUUCUGGCCCAAGGGGGUCUGCUGUGUUUCCCUAUUUUCCGCCCAGGGUAUGAAGGUGAAAGGGAGAAAACAUAGGCUGAAGUGCCAGGUGGAGUGUGUGACCCCUAAUAAUCAGCAGUGUCCUUUAGAAAUCUGUGACUGGAAGAGAGUGUCUGGGGUCAAGUCUGGAAUAUAAGCAAUUCAUUAAAAAAAAAAAGCAUCCAUCAAGAGAAUGGAUGUGUGUACGUGUAUAACUGAAUCCCUCUGUUGUACAGCAGAAAUGACCACAACUGUACGUCGAUAAAACUUUAAAAAAUGAAAAAAAGCACUGAUCAAAUAGUGUUUUUUCUUCUUUCUUAAUAUUAAUUAAUAUUCCUUCUUAAUUCUUAAUAUCCAAAGGAUGACCCACAUCCUUAGGAAGUGAGGUUUUGUCCUAGAAAACUUGCACAGAGCCUGGCUGAGCUGAGCUGGAGGGGACGAGGGCCCUGGCCACCAGAGGACUUCUCAGAGCAGCUGGGUGCUCAGUGCCAGCCUGCCAGGAGAUGGGACCCUCAGGUCAGGGAUGACACAGUGGGGUUCCCUUGCCCAUGCACCAGAGUCCUCCCUUUGGGACGUUCAUGCUGGAAACCCACAUGUACGUCACAACCCAGAAUUUAACAAGAACUCAGAUUCUUAGAGGGCAACUUGGAGAAAACAACACCUCUCUUCCAUCGCACGCUAUAAAUUUGAGCGGGGCACACUGAGGUUCUAUUAGUGCAAGAAUUUAUCACCUAAGUUGUAUGUAUUUGAACAACAGAACAGACUUUAUAUACUGCUGUUUCCUGAACACUCAUUUUUUGGUUAACAAGACAAAAGAAUUUACAGUCACUGCCAACAGCUUGCUGGCAGCUAAUACCCCGAUUAGCCGUUGCCUGGCAACAGUCAAGCAUGCUUCCUCCCAAAUCAGGAAGAACCACGGCUAAAUCUAGACUAAUUACAAAAUGGGACAAAUAUUUAAAAGCUUUAUAUUUAUUAAGGCUUUGGGGAGGGUAUCCUAGCAAGAAUGAGUCCUACUGAACAAAUUUAACUAAAGAGAGUACAUAUCUGUCUUUGUUUCGGUGUUCCAUGCUAUGCAGAUCAUUUUAGGAAAACCGGGCAUUUUUGCAUCUUUCCCAGUUUCCCCAAAUAUUGUACUAAACAAAACCAUGCGCUUAUAUUUUGCGGGAGCAUGUCUUUUGCCUACUCCUCUAAGAAUAAGGAUGAAAAGGAGCGCUGGAAACACCCUAGCCUUGUCAUACACACAGACCUGCACAGAUAUAAGGAAGCUACUAUCACAAUUCUCGCAACUCUCCCAGAGACAUCUGCACGGAAAGCUCAGCAGCUUUCUGCCUUCAUUUCUACCUUCAUCUGCAUUCUUACUUCCUUCUCUUUCAAGAGGCACUCAGAGUUCUCUGGGUGGUGAACAAAUCCAGAGUUUUUUCAGAGUCCACCAGGGCUGGCCACCCUGCCAUACAGGCUAUGUUGCUGGUGGCAAAGUUCUGAACAAUCAAAGUUCUAAAGUCAAGAGACCUGGCUGGGAGGUCCCAUUGUGGCGCAGCGGAAACAAAUCUGACUAGGAACCAUGAGGACGCGGGUUUGAUCCCUGGCCUCGCUCAGUGGGUUAAGGAUCCAGCAUGGCCAUGAGCCGCAGGGUAGGUCGCAGAGGCAGCUCGGAUCUGGUGUUGCUGUGGCUGUGGUGUAGGCUGGCAGCUGUAGCUCUGAUUCGACCCCUCGACUGGGAACCUCUACAUGCUGUGAGUGUGGCCCUAAAAAGACCAAAAAAAAAAGAGAGAGAGAGAGAGAGAAGGAAAGUGGAAAGAUCUUCAGGUUUUGUCAACAUAGAAGGACAUGGCAAUUUGGAAGGGGAGCCCAAGAGUAAUUUUAACAUCAAAAUAAAAAUUGUGUCCAUUCCCCUGGUCCUGCUUGCUGGGUAGAAUCAGCUCUCCUAAAACGAACAUGCAUCUUCUAGAAUUAGCUCAGGGCCUGGUUCUCUGCAGAUGGACCCAGUUGCUGGGGCCACAAAGGCCCACGGUUUGCUCUGAAAAUUAUCCUCAUAUUUUCAGGCUGAGGUGGGUAAGAGUUACUCUGACCGGGGGCACGUGGUGAACCCGCUGGUCUGCUGAUGCUUCUGGCCCACACUCUGCUCAGGAAAAAGUGCCACCCCGCCCAGCACGCAGAGGCAGGGUGGCCAUGCUUCACCCCACACGAGCCCACCCCAAGGGCCACGACUGUCUGGGCUGGGGUAGAACCUGAGCCCGGGCAGCCCGCAAGGGACAUCAGUUUGGGGUGACCUUUACCCUACGUGGCCUAGCUCAAAAUGAGGAGCUGAGCCCUUCCGAGUCCUCGGGCCUGGAAUCAUAAGAACAGGCUCUGAGGAGGUCAUGGAAGCAGAUGCUGCCAGGAAGUUGUUGGGGCCUGAGGAGACCUCAGGGAUGGCCGAAGCUGUGGGGGAGCUGGAGGGAGCAGAGGAGCCCAGCUUGGACAGGGGAAUGGAGCCACGGGCAGAGGAGGACAGAGAGGCCUGAGCGGCAGUAUCUGAAACUCCUGAGGGCUCACUGGAGCCUGGGGUUCGGUGUUCUAGGCUCUAGGCUGCACUGUGGUCCCCAUGCAUGCAUGUGGGAUUUCCCUGACCCCUACAAAUCAUUGUGAUAGGGUUUUGUGUGUGUGUGUGUGUGUGUAUAAUGCAAUGGAUGAUAUUGAUUUUUGAAUGUUGAACCAGCACUGCAGGUAGGAUAAAUCCCACUUGGCCAUGUGUAGUGUUCUUUUCAUAUACAGUUGGAUUUUAUUUGCUAAUGUUUUGUCGUGCAUUUUUCCAUCUAUUUUCAUGAGUGAUACUGGCCUAUAAUUUUCCUUUCUUGGAACACCUUUAUCUGGUUUUGGUCUUAGGACAAUGCUGGCCUCGGAAUGAGUUAGAAAGUAUUCCCUCUGCUUCUAUCCUCUGAAAGAGACUGGCAAGAGUUAGUAGAAUUUCUUCCUUAACUGUGUGGUAGAAUUCACCAGUGAGCCCAUCUGGGCCUGGGGCUUUCCGUGUGGGAAGGUUAUUAAUUAUUGACUCAAUUUCUUUCAUAAACAUACUUCUUCCUGUGUGAGUUUUGGCAAACUCUAUCUCUCAGGGAACUGGUCCAUUUAAUCUGGGUUAUAAAAUUUGUGGGCAAAGAACUUUUCAUAAUUAUUUAUUAUCCAUUUUCAAUGUCUGCGGGAUCUGUACUGAUGACCUUUCUUCCAUUUCUUCUUCUUUUUUUUUUUUUUUUUUUUUUUUUGGGCUGUGCCCACAGCAUGGGAAAGUUUCUGGGCCAGGGGUCAAACUCACGCCACAUCAGUAACUAGAACCACAGCAAUGACAAUGCCAGAUCCUCUAUCCACUGAACCAAGAGGGAACGUCACUUCAUUCCUAAUAUUACUACUAUGCGUCCUCUCUUUGUGUGUCUUAGUUAGCCCAGCUAAAGGCUCAUCAAUUUUAGGAUCUAUUCGAAAAACCGGCUUUUGGUUUUAAGUGAGUUUUCUCUACUGAUUUCCUCUUAUCAAUUUCACUGAUUUCUG